rnacentral:rRNA from 1 species
GCGGAGGAAAAGAAAAUAACAAUGAUUUCCCUAGUAACGGCGAGUGAAGAGGAAAGAGCUCAAAGUUGGAACCUGUUUGGCCUAGCUAAACCGGAUUGUAAACUGUAGAAGUGUUUUCCAGACACGCCUGGUAAAAAAGUCCUUUGGAACAGGGCAUCAUAGAGGGUGAGAAUCCCGUCUUUGGCCAGAGCUGUUGUCUUUUGCGAUACACUUUCAAAGAGUCAGGUUGUUUGGGAAUGCAGCCUAAAUUGGGUGGUAAAUCUCACCUAAAGCUAAAUAUUUGCGAGAGACCGAUAGCGAACAAGUACCGUGAGGGAAAGAUGAAAAGAACUUUGAAAAGAGAGUUAAACAGUAUGUGAAAUUGUUAAAAGGGAACCGUUUGGAGCCAGACUGGCUUGAUCGUAAUCAAUCUAAGCUUCGGCUUGGAUGCACUUGCGGUCUUUGCCUGCCAACGACAAUUUUUUCUGGGGGAAAAAACUAAGAGAAAUGUGGCCCCUCGGGGUGUUAUAGUCUCUUGGAAAUUACCCUGGAUUGGAUUGAGAAACGCAGUGAAUGCUCUUUUAGGGCAAGAUUGCUAGGUGCUUUCGCUGAUAGAUGUUAGAAUUUCUGCCUUGGGUGGUGCUAAUGUGUAAAGGAGAAACUCGCUUGGUAUAUUUU